rnacentral:lncRNA from 1 species
GAAGCGCGCAGCGAGCAGAGGGUGGGUGCAGGUGGCGGUCCCCGAGUCGGCCCAGUGAGGGCUGAACUGCUGCUCCCAGGAACCGAGCGGGGUGGGCUCGGUCCGACGCGCAUCAUGGCCGAGUGCCUAGGCCUGACUCUGAGCGCAGGCCUAGCGUGGAUGGCAUGGGCGCUACACAGCUCCAAGUUACGCGAUUCAAACUCUUGGAAUAAACCCAGGGCAGCCCUGGGGCUGUGUUGAUUCCUUGUCUCCCUCCCUCCCAGCAUUUACAGAAAAGACGCAUUUAUAGGAAAGACGCACGGGCAGGUCCAGCAGAGCCCUUACAAGCAUUUCAACCUUUUAGAAAUCAGAUAAGACCCUCUAAACAUCGUUACAUGGGCCACAGUUACAUUAAGACAGGCGUUCUGACGUUCUGAAACCGCCUUUGCAAAAAAUUGUAUCGGUGAGAGAAGGUUGGCCUUGAAGGAGAUCUGGCCAACCCCCAUCUUGCCUUUGGCCUUAAAACUGCCCUUAAUUAUUCCUGGAUAAGCAAAGGUAACUUUGGGAGACAUUUAUAGUUUAAGUGAUAGCAGCCCUUCCUCAAAACUAAACAGCCUUUGUAAAGCUAAUGAGACCACUGAAACCGCCUUUGCAAAAAUCAUAACUGAAGAAAUUAUGACAGGGGAAGAUCUCCUCACCCACCCCAUCUUCCUGCUAUCCUCUAAGCUGCUUUUGUUCAUUCCUGGGUGUAGACCAGACUAGCCUUGGGAAGGAAUUUAGUUUAUAGAUUAAACUGAAACAAAAUUGAUAAUAGCCCUUUCCCAAAAAAACCCUUCUUGCCUGGGGACCAGUCUGCCUUUGUAGGACUAACAAAUUAAGCUACGAGAUUAAAAAUUACAGUUUAGGGGCCAUGCAACCUCUGGCGGCAAGAGUCUGAACCUCCCCAAAUUGCUUCUGGGAAUAACAUCACUGUUGCAAAACUUAAGGUUUCUUGCAUGUCUCACACGGAUGGAUCCAGCUAAAUGUCUUGCCAACAGCUCCUGUGGCCCCACCCAGAAGCCAUGCAGCACAAAAGGACCAAAAGGACAGCUAGAUUUCAUCUCGCACCUAACCAAUCAGCACUCCCCAUGCCCUAGCCCCCUGUUCACCAAACUACCUUUGAACAACCCCUAACCCAUGAGCCUUCAAUUGUAACCGAGCAGCUUAGCAGCUGUGAAUCCAAAAUAUCUGAGACAGGACUCAAUCUGUUUAGAAAGUUUAUUUUGUCAAGGUUAAGGACAAGCCCAUGACACAGCCUCAGGAGGUCCUGAUGACAUGUGCCCUGGGUGGCUGGGGCACAGCUUGCUUUCAUACAUUUUUAGGGAGACAUGAGACAUCAAUCAAUAUGUGUAAGAUGGAAAAAGAAGAAAAAAUAUAUGUAUAAGAUGUACAUUAAGCCGGGCGCGGUGGCUCACGCCUAUAAUCCCAGUACUUUGGGAGGCUGAGGCAGGUGGAUGGCCUGAGGUCAGGAGUUCGAGACCAGCCUGGCCAACAUAGUGAAACCCUGUCUCUACUAAAAAUACAAAAAAUUAGCUGGGCGCGGUGGUGGGUUUCACUCGUGUCCAUGUGAAGAGACCACCAAACAGGCUUUGUGUGAGCAAUCAAGCUGUUUAUUUCACCUGGGUGCAGGUGGGCUGAGUCUGAAAAGAGAGUCAGUGAAGGGAGAUAAGGGUGGGGCCGUUUUAUAGGAUUUGGGUAGAUAAAGGAAAAUUAUAGUCAAAGGGGGGUUGUUCUCUGGCGGGCAGAGUGGGAGUCACAAGGUGCUCAGUAGGGGAGCUUUUGAGCCAGGAUGAGCCAGGAGAAGGAAUUUC